rnacentral:misc_RNA from 1 species
UCACCCCUCAAGCCCCGUGCUUGGUGUUGGGCGGCUUGGUCGAGGUCUCGCCCUCGACCCGUCCCAAAGACAAUGACGGCGGCCUGUGGCUCCCCCGGCACACUGAGCUUCUUACCGAGCACGUGUCGGAUCGCGGGCGUCCAGGUCCCGGUCGGCUUUCCUCGCUACAGGGGAAAAUUUUAUCAA